rnacentral:lncRNA from 1 species
CUCGAUAUCCUCAUCACUUGAAUCCUCAUCGUUUUGAGGUUGAGUCGUAGACGCUUUGAGUGGAAUCCUUCUUUUCCAUUGAUCAUCCAAAGGAGGGUUAAGAAUAGUAGAUUCAUAAGUAUUGAGAUUACCUCGAAGUCCGUCUAGGGUGACAUUUGUAAUGCCGAUCGAUUCUUGAAUAGCGUCGGCUUUGGAACGCCAUUCCGGAGU